UUGCCCAUUUGAGGCUGUUUGUGCCUUAAAUGACCAUUAAUGGAGGGUAGAUAAAAGUCUCCCUGUAAACCUGGGUCAGGAGCUCCACUCCGGACUCUGGACCUGUCGGGAGAAACACUC